GGUUGUGGCUCAGUGGUAGAGCAGUCGCCUAGCACAUGUGAGGCACUGGGUUCGAUCCUCAGCACCA
rnacentral:tRNA from 1 species